rnacentral:rRNA from 1 species
AUUGAACGCUGGCGGCAUGCCUUACACAUGCAAGUCGAACGGCAGCAUGAUCUAGCUUGCUAGAUUGAUGGCGAGUGGCGAACGGGUGAGUAAUACAUCGGAACGUGCCCUGUAGUGGGGGAUAACUAGUCGAAAGAUUAGCUAAUACCGCAUACGACCUGAGGGUGAAAGUGGGGGACCGCAAGGCCUCAUGCUAUAGGAGCGGCCGAUGUCUGAUUAGCUAGUUGGUGAGGUAAAGGCUCACCAAGGCGAAGAUCAGUAGCUGGUCUGAGAGGGCGAUCAGCCACACUGGGACUGAGACACGGCCCAGACUCCUACGGGAGGCAGCAGUGGGGAAUUUUGGGCAAUGGGCGAAAGCCUGAUCCAGCAAUGCCGCGUGUGUGAAGAAGGCCUUCGGGUUGUAAAGCACUUUUGUCCGGAAAGAAAUGGCUCUGGUUAAUACCUGGGGUCGAUGACGGUACCGGAAGAAUAAGGACCGGCUAACUACGUGCCAGCCGCCGCAGUAA